rnacentral:rRNA from 1 species
CGGGGUGCACCAGGCGCGAAAACUUUACAAUGCCGGCAACGGCGAUAAGGGGACCUCGAGUGCCAGGUUACAAAUCUGGCUGUCGUGAUGCCUAAAAAGCAUUGCAUAGCAAGGGCCGGGCAAGACCGGUGCCAGCCGCCGCGGUAACACCGGCGGCUCGAGUGGUAACCGUUAUUAUUGGGUCUAGAGGGUCUGUAGCCGGCCGGAUAAGUCUCUUGGGAAAUCCAGCAGCUCAACUGUUGGGCUUUCAGGGGAUACUGUCUGGCUCGAGGCCGGGAGAGGUGAGAGGUACUCCAGGGGUAGGGGUGAAAUCUUGUAAUCCUUGAAGGACCACCAGUGGCGAAGGCGUCUCACCAGAACGGACCUGACGGCAAGGGACGAAAGCUAGGGGCACGAACCGGAUUAGAUACCCGGGUAGUCCUAGCCGUAAACGAUACUCGCUAGGUGUCGGCCACGGUGCGACCGUUGUCGGUGCCGUAGGGAAGCCGUGAAGCGAGCCACCUGGGAAGUACGGCCGCAAGGCUGAAACUUAAAGGAAUUGGCGGGGGAGCACAAGGGCGAAUCGC